GGGGGAGCCUCGGUCGCCAUGGAGAACCCGGUGGAAAGCCUGCACAAAGAAGCCACUUGCUCCGUGUGCCUGGAGUACUUCCGAGACCCGGUCUCCAUCCCUUGCGGCCACAGCUUUUGCCGCGCCUGCAUCACCCAGUGCUGGAAGGAGCAGAGCACCAACUUCUCCUGCCCGCAGUGCCGGGAGAUCGCCCUGCAGAGGAAUUUCAGACCCAACCGGGAGCUGGGAAACGUGGUGGAAAUCACCAGGCGGCUGAGCCUGCACGCCUUGCAGGGGGCCGCUGGGCAGGAAGGAGGGGAGGAGAAGCCGCUGUGCGACAAGCAUCAGGAGGCGCUGAAGCUCUUCUGCAGCGAGGAAGAAAGCCUCAUUUGCUGCAUCUGCAGGGAGGCACGAGCUCACCGGAGCCACACGGUGUUCCCCGUCGAAGAGGCCGCCCAGGACUACAAGAAAGAAAUUGAAUGCCGUCUGCAGAAACUGAAGGAAGAACUGGAGAAACUUCUACGACUAAAACUGGCUGGUGAGGUUAGACAUCAGGAAUCUCUGAGUCAGACAGACAUCGAGAGGCAAAAGGUGGUGAUGGAAUUUGAGCAAGUGCAUCGCUUUCUGGAUGAGCAGGAGAAACUUCUGCUGGCCCAGCUGAAGGAGAUGGAGAGGGAGAUUGUCAAGCACCAGAAAGUCUACGACACAAAGGUUUCUGAUGAAAUUGUUGCUCUCACCAUCCUGAUUGAUGAGAUAGAAGAGAAGUUUGAGCAGCCAGACAGUGAAUUCCUUCAGGAUAUCAGAAGUACAUUGUGCAGGUUUGAUAAGGAGCCCUUUCAGGUCCCCGAGGGGAUUCCAGCCAAGAUGGAAAAGAGACUGGAGGAAUUCUCUGAGAAAAAUACAGCACUUGCAGAAAUGCUGAAGAAUCUCAAAGACACUUUGCCAUCAGAACUAGGAACCGAAUGGGUUAACAUAACCCUUGACAAAGACACGGCAAACCCCCAAGUCAUAAUUUCUGAGGAUCGAAAAAGUGCGAGAUGGGACGUCACCCGGACUGACGUGCCACAUAAUCCUAAGCGAUUUAAGUCUUCUUGCUGUGUGCUGGGUUGUGAAGGAUUCACAUCUGGGAGACACUAUUGGGAAGUCAAUGUAGAAGAUGGAGGCAUCUGGGCCAUAGGAGUAGCCAGGGGCUCUGUGAGGAGGAAGACAGAACUCAAGCUCACUCCAGAGGAGGGGAUUUGGGCCUUGCAAGGAGAUUUUGGUCAAUACCAGGCUCUCACCUCACCUGUAACAGCUCUGCCACUCCUUUGCACUCCCAGAAGGAUCAGAGUAUUUCUGGACUAUGAAAGGGGGCAGGUAGAAUUCUUCAAUGCCGACACAAAAGAUUCAAUCUUCCUUUUUCCCUCAGCAUUGUUUGCUGGUGAGAGAAUUUUUCCCUUUUUUAAGGUGUUGCUGGCUCAGCUGACGCUUGAUGGCUGAAGAGUUUCCUUUGAGGAAGAUGUACCGGCAUUACCUCAAAUCUGAAAUCAAGAGGGGUUUAAAGGAAGAAUUAUGCAUGUUGAAUGAAGUUCUGGUCUGCUUUAAUAACCGCAAGUACUAAAAAGUGGAAGUGGUUUCUCCAGAUGUAAUUAGUAUAGAUCAGUGGGGUGCUGUGUUGUAUAUAUGACAUUGAAUGUGGAUGAUGUCUGCACUGUAAUCUAGGAAGUGGAUUAGAACAAUUGGUUUUAAUUACAUAGUAGCCUGCAAAGUUGUAUAGUUUUGUCGAUUCACCAGUUCCUCAUCUGUUGUAAUAGAUCCAUAUCAUUUUGUCAAAGAAGACGGCAUGAACAUCAUCUGAGGCCUUUGUGUUUUGUCUGUUACUAAUUUUUAAUGAUAAAUGUUACCUUUUAUUGGGUUUCUUUUUUAGACAAGCUGCGUCCCUAUGGACUGAAAAACAGGGUGAAAAUAAUAAAGAUGUGAAGAUUGCAUGUGUAGAUCAAGGAGAUCUGUUUGGAGCCUGCCAUGUUCUUUUUAGAGUCUCUGGAGUGCCAGGGUGAGUCAUUUGAUAAAUAGUCCUCGGGUAUGCUGCCUAAGUGGACAUAAUCAUGCAAGGAAGCCCCCACCAUAGCGUUGAGUCUCCCAGUAGGAUCACAACGGCUUUACGAUGUUUUAUAUUUAAGACUGUCUUUUCUAAUUGCACCCAGAUGUCAGGGGAGAAGCAGGGAGAGGAAUAUGGGGAUAGGUAUACAUUUAGCAGCACAACUUCAGAUGAUUUGAAUUUAAAUUGAAUAGCUGGAAGAUAGAAGGAGUCUUCUCUGAAGGUCAGUUCCUACCCUUGCCAGCCCUACUCUGCCUUGACAAGUAUGCAUAAUCCCCGAGGCCCGCCCUUUUAACUUGAAUUUACAUGCUGGUGUAGACCAUGAUCUAAAGCCUAGUAGGUGAGCAUCUUCAUCACCGGUGGUUAACCGUGUCUCUUGGAGUGCUAUGAUGUCGAACGUGGAGAGGAAUUCCAACAGAUCUCCGUUUGACAUUCUGUUCUUCCAUCUGGCUAUAUUCCAUGACAAUAGUUGAAGAGAAAUUUCUUGUUUGUUGUCAGAAGGGGUAGCUGGCAAUUUGUUGAGGUCUGUGGUUGGAUGGUGUGGCUCAUGCAGUCAUUCUACAGGUGAGAUGAGGUCCAAAAUUCAUUCAGUAUCUAGGAAGGUACACUGAUUGUAAUUUGGCCUACCUUUUCUGCUCUCUUGCUGCUGUAUCGAGUCAGGUAAGUUUUGUAAUAGUUUAUGCAUAAGAUAGUGAACUUUAGCAAGUUGUUGUUUCAUGUCUAUAUCACUGGCCAGAGCAGUUGUCACAGCCCUGGACAGUGGUCUUCUUCCUACCUCAGGGGCUACCUUUGCAUAAUUUCCUGUGGUUCCUAGAGCAGAGGUUUGCCUGGAGAGCUGGAGACUAUAUGGGUUACUGGAUGUAUUUAGGCUACAAAUAUCCAUUUCAUGUUCCUGGUGUGGCCCAUCAUCUAGCUCUAGUUAUGGUUCCCAGGAUUUUAGACAGUUAAGACCAUCCUCUUGUCUAUUGACAGCAUCCAAGUCAGGGGAGGGGGCCAAGAUGCCCACAAGUCCUCUCUCAGAGUACUUACAGUUGCCUUGGGUGUUUGGUAAAACCAAAUGGAUUAGAAGUUCGUCAGCGUUGUGUGUUGUCACUAAAGUUUCUCUCAGAUCAUCCAGCCUUUUAAUAAUGUCAGCUUGUUCCAAGUCUGACAAGGCACUGAAGGUGUUAAUCAGGUUUUCUUCCAGGAGGUCAUCUGUGCCCUGUCUUGCUGUAAGCAGCACAGAUUGUUUGCCUGGACAGUCAUUUUGGACAGCAGAGCUGGUAGAAUGUCCUUGAGGUUAUCUAAAGUUGAGUGGUCACAUUUGUUCUUGAAAGCGACCAGAUUGGCCAGACUGGCUUAGGAGUGGGCUGAGUUCUGACUGAAACACACACAAGUAUUGGAAAAAUUGAAAAAAUAUGCAGAAAGGGCCUCAUUUUAAACAGCAUGUUGGAGAUUAUGGAUGGCCUAAAUGUAAGUAAAAUUUUCUCAAGGCUUUUGCUGGAUGGAAGCCAUUCGGCUUUCUGUCAGGUUCAGCCCAAAGAACUCCAAGAGCCAAUGCAAAUACAGUUCUGUUGCAUUUAUUAGCU